UACGAAGGGGGGCUAGCGUUGCUCGGAAUUACUGGGCGUAAAGCGCACGUAGGCGGAUUGUUAAGUCGGGGGUGAAAUCCUGGAGCUCAACUCCAGAACUGCCUUCGAUACUGGCGAUCUCGAGUCCGGGAGAGGUGAGUGGAACUGCGAGUGUAGAGGUGAAAUUCGUAGAUAUUCGCAAGAACACCAGUGGCGAAGGCGGCUCACUGGCCCGGUACUGACGCUGAGGUGCGAAAGCGUGGGGAGCAAACAGG
rnacentral:rRNA from 1 species